rnacentral:lncRNA from 1 species
GCCCUGGGCUGCGGGGCCAUCUCCGCGUCUCUGCUGCUCUCCAGGCUUCUCGGGAAACGCUGCUUUAUGCAGUUAAGUUUAUGAAGAGGAGGAAUCUCAAAAAGCUGCUGAAGGAGCAGAAACUGUGGAAGUUCAGCAAGUGCCUGAUCUGCACUUGCUGGGCAGCCCUGUUUUACACCAAGGACCUGGGAAACAAUUCCCAGCAACUGGGAAAAUCUGAGGUCAUCCAUCCACUCAGAGACAGGAAGGACAUGUUUGGCUCACAUCUUCACUGCAAGGCUCAGAAGGUCUAAAAGACUUCAAGUUACAAGACAUUUUAAGGAUUUAUUGGACAAUAAAACAUUGCCAACAAGGAUAUGUAUGUUUCUG